rnacentral:lncRNA from 1 species
UACAAGCACAUGCACGUCAAUUGGUUAUAUCGUCUUCAACUCUUGACUCGACCUUGAUCCCCUAGGUCCAAUUGCGAUCAACUUCUUGAUCCAUCUUCAAUCAACCCUUGAUUUCGAUCCGCGCAAGUCAUGCUUGUAGAGGCAUGCAUCGAUCAACCAUUGACGUGCAAACACAUCACAGAUUACAUCCCAGAUAAAUUUAAAAAUAAAAAAAUAAUUACAACCCUUUUUCAUUAAACACGCAGGUCUCUAAUACAUAAAU